rnacentral:lncRNA from 1 species
AUGGCUGAUGAAGAGUCCUAAUGCUCAUGGACUAUGAGUCCUAUAUGUCUGAAACUCUAUGAUCGAGAAUCAAGAUUCUCUGAUCACGAGCCCCACACAUUUUGGGUACCGGGGUCAAGAGUCCCACUGGUUUGGGACUCUUCGAUCAGGGUUACAUAUCGAUCAAUUCUGAUGCCCGAUUACCCAUCGGAUUUGAACUCAAUAUUUAUG